GAGCGGUAACAGGUGUAGCAAUACAUGCUGACGAGCGGCGAACGGGUGAGUAAUGUUUCGGAAUCUGCCCAAUGGUGGGGAGUAACCAGCCGAAAGGUUGGCUAAUACCGCAUAAGUCCUACGGGAGAAAGCGGGGGAUCGUAAGACCUCGCGCCGAUGGAUGAGCCGAAACCGGAUUAGCUAGUUGGUAGGGUAACGGCCUACCAAGGCGACGAUCCGUAGCUGGUCUGAGAGGACGACCAGCCACACUGGGACUGAGACACGGCCCAUACUCCUACGGGAGGCAGCAGUGGGGAAUAUUGGACAAUGGGGGAAACCCUGAUCCAGCGACGCCGCGUGUGUGAAGAAG
rnacentral:rRNA from 1 species